AAAACAAGAGGCACAAAAAAUGUUCUUGCCGUUUAAGCGGUAAUUUGUUCUUUGGCCUUUUUUAUUACACUUUAAACUAAAAUGAUCUCUUUAACCCAGUGUUUCUCAAUUCCGGUCCUCAGGCUCUCCUGCUUUGCAUGUUUUAGGUGUUUCCAUUGUGCCACACACCUGGCUUGAACCUAUGGGCGAUUAACAGGCCUCUGCAGCACUUGAUGCCUGUAGAAAUGGUU